rnacentral:rRNA from 1 species
GAUCUGCGAUUACUAGCGACUCCGACUUCAUGGGGUCGAGUUGCAGACCCCAAUCCGAACUGAGACCGGUUUUUUGGGAUUAGCUCCACCUCACGGUUUCGCAACCCUCUGUACCGGCCAUUGUAGCAUGCGUGAAGCCCAAGACAUAAGGGGCAUGAUGAUUUGACGUCAUCCCCACCUUCCUCCGAGUUGACCCCGGCAGUCUCCCAUGAGUCCCCACCCGAAGUGCUGGCAACAUGGAACGAGGGUUGCGCUCGUUGCGGGACUUAACCCAACAUCUCACGACACGAGCUGACGACAACCAUGCACCACCUGUACACCAGUCCGAAGACGCACACAUCUCUGCAUGAUUCCGGUGUAUGUCAAGCCUUGGUAAGGUUCUUCGCGUUGCAUCGAAUUAAUCCGCAUGCUCCGCCGCUUGUGCGGGCCCCCGUCAAUUCCUUUGAGUUUUAGCCUUGCGGCCGUACUCCCCAGGCGGGGCGCUUAAUGCGUUAGCUGCGGCACGGAACUCGUGGAAUGAGUCCCACACCUAGCGCCCAACGUUUACGGCAUGGACUACCAGGGUAUCUAAUCCUGUUCGCUCCCCAUGCUUUCGCUUCUCAGCGUCAGUAAUGGCCCAGAGACCUGCCUUCGCCAUCGGUGUUCCUCCUGAUAUCUGCGCAUUUCACCGCUACACCAGGAAUUCCAGUCUCCCCUACCACACUCUAGUCUGCCCGUACCCACUGCAGAACCGGAGUUAAGCCCCGGUCUUUCACAGCAGACGCGACAAACCGCCUACAAGCUCUUUACGCCCAAUAAUUCCGGACAACGCUCGCACCCUACGUAUUACCGCGGCUGCUGGCACGUAGUUAGCCGGUGCUUCUUCUCCAGGUACCGUCACGUUAGCUUCGUCCCUGGUGAAAGAGGUUUACAACCCGAAGGCCGUCAUCCCUCACGCGGCGUCGCUGCAUCAGGCUUUCGCCCAUUGUGCAAUAUUCCCCACUGCUGCCUCCCCGUAGGAGUCUGGGGCCGUGUCUCAAGUCCCAGUGGGGGCCGGUCGCCCUCUCAGGCCGGCUACCCGUCGUCCGCCUGGGAAGGCCAUUACCCCACCAACAAGCUGAAAAGGCCG